UUGCUUGAUAGUUUAUAGGGAAAACUUCAAAUACCCCCCUUGUGGUUUCUUUUUUUUUUCACUUUAGUAUCCUGUGGUUUAAAGUGUUUCAAGUUAGUACCAUGUGGUUUUGCACUUUUUCACUCUAGUAUUCUGUGUUUUAAAGUAUAUCAAGUUAGUACCCUGUGGUUUCGCACUUUAUCACUUUAGUAUCCUGUGGUGUCGCAUUUUAGCACUUUAGUACUCUGGUUUAAAAAUCACAGGAUACUAAUUUGAUACAAAAAUAAAAUCAUAGGGUAUUAACUUGAUACAAAAGUAAAAUCACAGAGUACUAACUUGAUACACUUUAAACCACAGGAUACCAAAGUGAUAAAGUGAGAAACCACAAGAUACUAACUUGAUAUACUUUAAACCACAAGGUACUAAAAUGAAAAAGUGCGAAAUCAUAUUGGGGGGUUUUUAAAGUUUUUCCUAGUUCAUAUGAUCCGCUCGCCAAUGACAAGCUUAGUUGAGGAUACGAAAUAUAAUCCAUUCUUGUGAAAGUUCUGCGAACCAAAUUGCAAUUUUCAAAAGUUCAGUGGUUAGUAUUUUUUUUUUAUUUUAUUUUAUUUUUUUUUUUUUUGGUGGGUUUAAAUUUUCUCCAUAAUCCCUGCUUUGUGAAAUGUGAACGCCGGUGCCCACGUUACCGCAUUGAAUGUGUUAGUGUUUGUAUAAUUGACAUGUUCAAACGGUCAAAUUCAAUGCCUUGCUCUUUUAAGAUAUUGUACGAAAAAUUCGUGAAGUGUGGACCCUCUAAUUUCUAUCUAAAGAGGUUAUAUUACUAUGUCACUGAGGCUAUGGCCCAUUUAAAUGAAAAUAAAGCACAAAAAAAAAUUGAAGAGAAAUUAAAAUCUCUUCCAUUAUCUGUUAUAUGGACAAUUCAUUUAGUUUUAAGGCUACAGUAUAUAUGCCACUAAUUAUGUACUUAAAAAACAAAUAAAACCUCUAUUAUUUAUCUCACCACAUUUUUAAAAAAAUAUAUAAUUUAGUAAAUCCAAUCUAAUUCCUGCUCUGUUACUAUGUUUGGUUACUUUGGUAUCGAGGUCCCUCUCUCUCUCUCUCUCUCUCUAAAAUAAAGGAUGAGAAUAACAAUUGUUUUUUGAAUAAAAUAAUUAAAAUAAUAAUAGUCUUGUAAGAUAUACAUCCAGAUUGGGGUGUACAGCUGGCACUGCUCUUGAUCCUCAAACUAUGAGAUACAUGACACUUUAGUUCUCAAACUUUAAUUUAUUAUAAUUUCUGGCGGGAAUUUUCACAAUUAUUUCAAUUAAAUCCUACAAUCCAAUUAGUUAUUGGGGCAUUAUUAAUUAUAAUAUAAGUACUUUACCUCUAAAUUAGCGGUAUAUCAUCAAUAUUUAGUCAACUAAAUUAUGUUAUAGGACUUUAUUAUAAUAAUUUUAAAAGUUCGAGCAAAAAAUUAUAAUAAAUUUAAAUUUAAGAACCAAGUGUGCAAUUUACCUUAUUAACCAUUAUAUAUAUUCUUACUUUCUCACCGACGUAAAGUGAUUUUAUCGAAGUCCCAAAUAAAGCAUAAAGCUUAGUUUGGUAUUGAGAUCUAUUUAACGCUAUAUAAAAUGAAGUUGCGGUAAAAGUAUACAGGGAUAUGCUUCUGCGUUCUUUGGUGGGACCGCAGAAAAUAUAUAGUAACCGAGAUAUACAAAACGUAAUAUUACGUAUGUAAAUAAAUAUAAUAUUUUUCUAUCGUAUUUUCUUACCGUACGUAACGCAAUUUUCCCAACCCCAAACAAAGCCUAAAUUUCGGUCACGGAUGAUUGUAAUAUGUUUAAAUUGAUCC
rnacentral:lncRNA from 1 species